UCCGCAAUGGGCGCAAGCCUGACGGAGCAAGACCGCGUGAGGGAGGAAGGUCUGUGGAUUGUAAACCUCUUUUCACAGGGAAGAUGAUGACGGUACCUGAGGAAUCAGCAUCGGCUAACUCCGUGCCAGCAGCCGCGGUAAUACGGAGGAUGCAAGCGUUAUCCGGAAUUAUUGGGCGUAAAGCGUCCGUAGGUGGUUGUACAAGUCUGCUGUCAAAGCGCGAGGCUUAACUUCGUAAAGGCAGUAGAAACUGUAGAGCUAGAGUGCGGUAGGGGUAGAGGGAAUUCCCAGUGUAGCGGUGAAAUGCGUAGAUAUUGGGAAGAACACCGGUGGCGAAAGCGCUCUACUGGGCCUGCACUGACACUGAGGGACGAAAGCUAGGGGAGCGAAAGGGAUUAGAUACCCC
rnacentral:rRNA from 1 species